GCCAGGAUGGCUCAGUCAGUACAGUAUGCAUCUCUUGACAUCAAGGUCAUGAGUUCAAUUCCCACGCUGGGUG
rnacentral:tRNA from 1 species